GAUGAACGCUGGCGGCGUGCCUAAUACAUGCAAGUCGAGCGAACAGACGAGGAGCUUGCUCCUUCGACGUUAGCGGCGGACGGGUGAGUAACACGUAGGUAACCUACCUAUAAGACUGGGAUAACUUCGGGAAACCGGAGCUAAUACCGGAUAAUAUUUCGAACCGCAUGGUUCGAUAGUGAAAGAUGGCUUUGCUAUCACUUAUAGAUGGACCUGCGCCGUAUUAGCUAGUUGGUAAGGUAACGGCUUACCAAGGCAACGAUACGUAGCCGACCUGAGAGGGUGAUCGGCCACACGGGAACUGAGACACGGUCCAGACUCCUACGGGAGGCAGCAGUAGGGAAUCUUCCGCAAUGGGCGAAAGCCUGACGGAGCAACGCCGCGUGAGUGAUGAAGGUCUUCGGAUCGUAAAACUCUGUUAUUAGGGAAGAACAAACGUGUAAGUAACUGUGCACGUCUUGACGGUACCUAAUCAGAAAGCCACGGCUAACUACGUG
rnacentral:rRNA from 1 species